rnacentral:lncRNA from 1 species
CUGUGCGUACGCAAAAUGUUCGGCACUAACGGCCUGCCGUACUUUUUUCUAUAAAUUCAGGAGGGAGCCAUGGCCUAUUUCUUUACUCGCUGCCAGAUCAGGCAAAUUCAUAAUGCCGCGACAGCCUGUGAUCCCAACGCCCAUGACCACAGCGGUUCGCAGCCGAGCUGGUGGCAGGGCCUAUUCCCUGGAUUUGGCUCUUGGUGCAGCCCUCUCUGGUUUUGAAGAGACACAGUUGAAUAUGGGGAAAGAUUCCAGCCAUCAGUGCGAAAACAACAUCGCAAAAUAAACAUUGUGCAGCCUCUCCUACCAACUU